GCUGUGUUUAACCAGCACUACAACUUUCUAAAAUGCUAAUAAUACUUUAACUGAAUACAUCCAAAAUAUUACCAGUUUAACAUGAUAUCUUUAUUGUGGUAAAAUAUAUGUAACAUAAAAUUUACCAUUUUAACCAUUAAAGCAGUGGCAUCAAGUAUAUUCCCAUUGUUGUGUGACCAUUACCACCAUCCAGCCACAGAAUAUUUUUCAUCUCCUCCUACCUGGAAAAAGCACUGCUUCAGGAGUUUGCAUGUCAUCCUUGCUCCGGGCAAUUUUCUCUGUAUCAUUUUCAAUGAUUACUUCAGCCCAAUGGGCUCCACCACCACCAUAGAGUCAAGACCCUGAGAUCUUCAACACCUGAGCUGAGAUCAAGAGUUGGAUGCUUAACCGACCGAGCCCCCAGGCGCCCCAAUGUGAACCUUCUUAUAUGUCCUUGAUCUUCAAGUAUGCUGGCAGAUAACAUGUAUCCACAAGCUGCAUGGGUAGUCACCUGUCUACUGUUAUCAAAGGCCAGGGAAUAGAAGGAUUCAAAAGCAUUCUUGGCAUUCUAUAGCCAAGAGGUCAUCAUUGACUUGAUUAAAAAAAAAAAAGUUUCAUUAACAAAAGAGGAACAGAUUGUGCUGAGAUUGAACAGAGAGGCAAAGUAGUGGAGAGAGCUCCGAAGCCCC
rnacentral:lncRNA from 12 species